CUGGCCUUACAUCAAGGCCGGCAGCUUCCUCAUGCUGUUGGUUUCAAGCAGGAGAGUAAAGAGAUGCUUUUCUAUGGUCUGUUGGGCGUUUCAGAACUUGGGCAGUAAAAUAGUCAAUUCAUUAGAAAGAAACAGCU
ensembl:snoRNA small nucleolar RNA SNORA2/SNORA34 family